UGCGUAGGUGGUGGGGUAAGUCGGAUGUGAAAGCUCGGAGCUCAACUCCGAAAUGGCAUUGGAAACUACCCUGCUAGAGGAUUGGAGGGGGGACUGGAAUACUUGGUGUAGCAGUGAAAUGCGUAGAUAUCAAGUGGAACACCAGUGGCGAAGGCGAGUCCCUGGACAAUACCUGACACUGAGGCACGAAAGCUAGGGAGGCAAACA
rnacentral:rRNA from 1 species